rnacentral:rRNA from 1 species
CUUGACAUCCAGCGAACUUGGCAGAGAUGCCUUGGUGCCUUCGGGAACGCUGAGACAGGUGCUGCAUGGCUGUCGUCAGCUCGUGUUGUGAAAUGUGGGUUAAGUCCGCAACGAGCGCAACCCUUAUCCUUUGUUGCCAGCGAUUCGGUCGGGAACUCAAAGGAGACUGCCGGUGAUAAACCGGAGGAAGGUGGGGAUGACGUCAAGUCAUCGUGGCCCUUACGAGUAGGGCUACACACGUGCUACAAUGGCGCAUACAAAGAGAAGCGACCUCGCGAGAGCAAGCGGACCUCAUAAAGUGCGUCGUAGUCCGGAUCGGAGUCUGCAACUCGACUCCGUGAAGUCGGAAUCGCUAGUAAUCGUGGAUCAGAAUGCCACGGUGAAUACGUUCCCGGGCCUUGUACACACCGCCCGUCACACCAUGGGAGUGGGUUGCAAAAGAAGUAGGUAGCUUAACCUUCGGGAGGGCGCUUACCACUUUGUGAUUCAUGACUGGGGUGAAGUCGUAACAAGGUAAGCGUAGCGAG